rnacentral:rRNA from 1 species
UGGGGAAUUUUGGACAAUGGGGGAAACCCUGAUCCAGCCAUCCCGCGUGUGCGAUGAAGGCCUUCGGGUUGUAAAGCACUUUUGGCAGGAAAGAAACGUCGUGGGUUAAUACCCCGCGAAACUGACGGUACCUGCAGAAUAAGCACCGGCUAACUACGUGCCAGCAGCCGCGGUAAUACGUAGGGUGCAAGCGUUAAUCGGAAUUACUGGGCGUAAAGCGUGCGCAGGCGGUUCGGAAAGAAAGAUGUGAAAUCCCAGAGCUUAACUUUGGAACUGCAUUUUUAACUACCGGGCUAGAGUGUGUCAGAGGGAGGUGGAAUUCCGCGUGUAGCAGUGAAAUGCGUAGAUAUGCGGAGGAACACCGAUGGCGAAGGCAGCCUCCUGGGAUAACACUGACGCUCAUGCACGAAAAGCGUGGGGAGCAAACAGGAUUAGAUACCCUGGUAGUCCACGCCCUAAAACGAUGUCAACUAGCUGUUGGGGUCUUCGGACCUUGGUAGCGCAGCUAACGCGUGAAGUUGACCGCCUGGGGAGUACGGUCGCAAGAUUAAAACUUAAAGGAAUUG